rnacentral:rRNA from 1 species
GAUCCUGGGCUCAGGAUGAACGCUAGCGACAGGCCUAACACAUGCAAGUCGAGGGGCAGCGGAGAGGUAGCAAUACCUUUGCCGGCGACCGGCGCACGGGUGAGUAACACGUAUGCAAUCCACCUGUAACAGGGGGAUAACCCGGAGAAAUCCGGACUAAUACCCCAUAAUAUGGGCUCUCCGCAUGGAGAGCCCAUUAAAGAGAGCAAUUUUGGUUACAGACGAGCAUGCGCUCCA